rnacentral:rRNA from 1 species
AUUGCCCUAGUAACGGCGAGUGAAGCGGCAACAGCUCAAAUUUGAAAUCUGGCUUCGGCCCGAGUUGUAAUUUGUAGAGGAUGCUUUUGGUGAGGUGCCUUCUGAGUUCCCUGGAACGGGACGCCAGAGAGGGUGAGAGCCCCGUAUAGUCGGCCACCGAUCCUCUGUAAAGCUCCUUCGACGAGUCGAGUAGUUUGGGAAUGCUGCUCAAAAUGGGAGGUAUAUCUCUUCUAAAGCUAAAUAUUGGCCAGAGACCGAUAGCGCACAAGUAGAGUGAUCGAAAGAUGAAAAGCACUUUGAAAAGAGGGUUAAAUAGCACGUGAAAUUGUUGAAAGGGAAGCGCUUGUGACCAGACUUGUGCCGGGCUGAUCAUCCAGUGUUCUCACUGGUGCACUCGACCCGGCUCAGGCCAGCGUCGGUUCUCGUAGGGGGAUAAAAGCUUCGGGAACGUGGCACCUUCGGGUGUGUUAUAGCCCGUUGCUUAAUACCCUUGUGGGGACCGAGGUUCGCGCUCUGCAAGGACGCUGGCAUAAUGGUCAUCAGCGACCCGUCUUGAAACACGGACCAAGGAGUCGAGGUUUUGCGCGAGUGUUUGGGUGUAAAACCCGCACGCGUAAUGAAAGUGAACGUAGGUGAGAGCUUCGGCGCAUCAUCGACCGAUCCUGAUGUAUUCGGAUGGAUUUGAGUAAGAGCGUAUAGCCUCGGACCCGAAAGAUGGUGAACUAUGCCUGAAUAGGGUGAAGCCAGAGGAAACUCUGGUGGAGGCUCGCAGCGGUUCUGACGUGCAAAUCGAUCGUCAAAUUUGGGCAUG